rnacentral:lncRNA from 1 species
AUGACUGUUAAUGUCGGUGUAGUAGUGGUGGCAUCAUUUGAAGUUGAUGUCGUUGCAGUAGAGGGAUUGGUGGCAUCACUUGAAGUGAAAAUUGAUGUCGAGGGAGAGGUGCCAUUACUUGAAGUGAAUAUUGAUGUUGAGGGAGUGGUGGCAUCACUUGAAGUGAAUGCUGAUGUUGAUGUGGUAUCGGUGGCACCACUUGAAGUGAAUGUUGAGGGUGUAGUGGCAUCACUUGAAGCGACUGUCGAUGUAGUUGAGAGAAUGUUGGCCAAUGUUGAAGUUACUGUCAGUGUAGUUGUGGUUAUAUCACUUGAAGUUAAAUUCGAUGUUAUUGAGGAAGAGGUGGCAUCACUUGAAGUGACUGGCGAUUUUCUUGAGGGAGUGGUGGCAUCACUUGAAGUGAAUGUUGAAGGAACAGUUUUAUUGCUUGAAGUGACUGCUGAUGUUGAUGUAGUAGUAGUGGCAUCACUUGAAGUGACUAUUGAUGUAGAUGAGGGAGUGGUGACAUCAUUUGAAGUUGAUGUCGAUACAGUUGAGGGAUUGGUGGCAUCACUUGAAGAGACUGUUGAUGUCGAGGGAGAGAUGGCAUCACUUGAACUGAAUGCUGAUAUAGUAGCGGUGGCACCACUUGAAGUGAAUGUUGAAGGAACAGUGAUAUCGCUUGAAGUGACUGCUGAUGUUGAUGUAGUAGUGGUGGCAUCACUUGAAGUGACUAUUGAUGUAGAUGAGGGAGUGGUGGCAUCACUUGAAGUGGCUUUUGAGGGAGUGGUGGAAUCGCUUGAAAUGACUGUUAAUGUCGGUGUAGUAGUGGUGGCAUCAUUUGAAGUUGAUGUCGUUGCAGUAGAGGGAUUGGUGGCAUCACUUGAAGUGAAUAUUGAUGUUGAGGGAGUGGUGGCAUCACUUGAAGUGAAUGCUGAUGUUGAUGUGGUAUCGGUGGCAUCACUUGAAGUGACUAUUGAUGUAGAUGAGGGAGUGGUGGCAUCAUUUGAAGUUGAUGUCGAUACAGUUGAGGGAUUGGUGGCAUCACUUGAAGAGACUGCUGAUGUUGAUAUAGUAGCGGUGGCAUCACUUGAAGAGACUGUUGAUGUCGAGGGAGAGGUGGCAUCACUUGAACUGAAUGCUGAUGUAGUAGUGGUGGCAUCACUUGAAGUGACUAUUGAUGUAGAUGAGGGAGUGGUGGCAUCAUAUGUUGUUGAUGUUGAUGCAGUUGAGGGAUUGGUGGCGUCACUUGGAGUGACUGUUGAAGCAGUGGUUACAUCACUUGAAGAGACUACUGAAAUUGAUGUUGUAGCGGUGGCAUGA